AAUGAACGCUGGCGGCGUGCCUAACACAUGCAAGUCGAGCGAGAAAGUGGGCUUCGGCCCGCGAGUACAGCGGCGAACGGGUGAGUAACACGUGGGUAACCUGCCUAGGAGUGGGGGAUAACCUGGGGAAACUCGGGCUAAUACCGCAUACGUCCUCGGGACUUCGGUUCUGAGGGGAAAGCUUGCCUCUGCGUGCAAGCUGGCGCUCCUAGAGGGGCCCGCGUCCGAUUAGCUUGUUGGUGAGGUAACGGCUCACAAAGGCGACGAUCGGUAGCCGGCCUGAGAGGGCGAUCGGCCACACUGGGACUGAGACACGGCCCAGACUCCUACGGGAGGCAGCAGUGGGGAAUAUUGGACAAUGGGCGCAAGCCUGAUCCAGCAACGCCGCGUGGAGGAAGAAGGCCUUCGGGUCGUAAACUCCUGUCAGUUGGGACGAAAAGCCGUCGGUAAAUACCCGGCGGUUAUGACGGUACCAGCAGAGGAAGCCCCGGCUAACUCCGUG
rnacentral:rRNA from 1 species